UGGGGAAUAUUGCACAAUGGGGGAAACCCUGAUGCAGCGAUGCCGCGUGAGCGAAGAAGUAUUUCGGUAUGUAAAGCUCUAUCAGCAGGGAAGAAAAUGACGGUACCUGACUAAGAAGCCCCGGCUAACUACGUGCC
rnacentral:rRNA from 1 species